rnacentral:tRNA from 2 species
GUCUCUGUGGCGCAAUUGGUUAGCGCGUUCGGCUGUUAACUGUAAAGGUUGGUGGUUCGAGCCCACCCAGGGACG